GACGAACGCUGGCGGCGUGCUUAACACAUGCAAGUCGAACGGGUCUGCCCUGUUUUUUGCGGGGUGGGUCAGUGGCGAACGGGUGAGUAACCCGUGAGUAACCUGCCCCUCACUUCUGGAUAACCGCUUGAAAGGGUGGCUAAUACGGGGUGUUCUGGCUGUGCCGCAUGGUGUGGCUGGGAAAGAUUCACUUUUGUGGUGUUUUGGUGGGGGAUGGGCUCGCGGCCUAUCAGCUUGUUGGUGGGGUGAUGGCCUGCCAAGGCUUUGACGGGUAGCCGGCCUGGGAGGGUGGGCGGUCAGACUGGGAGUGAGACACGGCCCGGACUCCUGCGGGAGGCAGCAGUGGGGGGUAUUGCACAAUGGGCGGAAGCCUGAUGCAGCGACGUCGCUGGAGGGAUGGAGGCCUUCGGGUUGUGAACCUCUUUCGCCGGUGAAGAAGGUCCUGCUCUUUGUGGUGGGGUUGACGGUAGCCGGGUUAUGAAGCGCCGGCUAACUACGUG
rnacentral:rRNA from 1 species